rnacentral:rRNA from 1 species
UGCCAGCAGCCGCGGUAACACGAACCGUCCAAACGUUAUUCGGAAUCAUUGGGCUUAAAGGGUGCGUAGGCGGCUCAUUAAGUCGGGUGUGAAAUCCUUCGGCUCAACCGAAGAAUUGCGCCCGAUACUGGUGGGCUUGAGGGAGACAGGGGUGAGCGGAACUGAUGGUGGAGCGGUGAAAUGCGUUGAUAUCAUCAGGAACACCGGUGGCGAAAGCGGCUCACUGGGUCUCUUCUGACGCUGAGGAACGAAAGCCAGGGUAGCGAACGGGAUUAGAUA